GCCGGGCGCGGUGGCUCACACCUGUAAUCCCAGCACUUUGGGAGGCUGAGGUGGGGGGAUCACCUGAGUUCAGGAGUUUGAGACCAGCCUGGACAACAUGGUGAAACCCCAUCUCUA
ensembl:misc_RNA Metazoa_SRP Metazoan signal recognition particle RNA